rnacentral:rRNA from 1 species
UACGUAGGUGGCGAGCGUUGUCCGGAUUUACUGGGCGUAAAGGGAGCGUAGGCGGACUUUUAAGCGAGAUGUGAAAUACUCGGGCUCAACUUGAGUGCUGCAUUUCAAACUGGAAGUCUAGAGUGCAGGAGAGGAGAAUGGAAUUCCUAGUGUAGCGGUGAAAUGCGUAGAGAUUAGGAAGAACACCAGUGGCGAAGGCGAUUCUCUGGACUGUAACUGACGCUGAGGCUCGAAAGCGUGGGGAGCAAACAGG